GGCAUCGGGAUUGAAGCUUGCUUCAAUUGCCGGCGACCGGCGCACGGGUGCGUAACGCGUAUGUAACCUACCUAUAACAGGGGCAUAACACUGAGAAAUUGGUACUAAUUCCCCAUAAUAUUCGGAGAGGCAUCUCUCCGGGUUGAAAACUCCGGUGGUUAUAGAUGGACAUGCGUUGUAUUAGCUAGUUGGUGAGGUAACGGCUCACCAAGGCAACGAUACAUAGGGGGACUGAGAGGUUAACCCCCCACACUGGUACUGAGACACGGACCAGACUCCUACGGGAGGCAGCAGUGAGGAAUAUUGGUCAAUGGACGCAAGUCUGAACCAGCCAUGCCGCGUGCAGGAAGACGGCUCUAUGAGUUGUAAACUGCUUUUGUACGAGGGUAAACUCACCUACGUGUAGGUGACUGAAAGUAUCGUACGAAUAAGGAUCGGCUAACUCCGUGCCAGCAGCCGCGGUAAUACGGAGGAUUCAAGCGUUAUCCGGAUUUAUUGGGUUUAAAGGGUGCGUAGGCGGUUUGAUAAGUUAGAGGUGAAAUCCCGGGGCUUAACUCCGGAACUGCCUCUAAUACUGUUAGACUAGAGAGUAGUUGCGGUAGGCGGAAUGUAUGGUGUAGCGGUGAAAUGCUUAGAGAUCAUACAGAACA
rnacentral:rRNA from 1 species